UCCAAUUUAAUUCAAUAUAUAGGGGUAUGUUUUAUAUAUAGGUGUUAUGGUACCCUUUGGUUUGGGUCUUGUCCUGGAAAAAUAAAAUUAAGUACCACACACACACACACACUCUUUAAAAAAAAAAAAAAAAAAAAAAAAGGGCGGUAAAUUCCAAAGCAAGACAGAAAGGCCUGGUGGUUUUUCUGAGGGGGUUAUUAUUUCGAAGCUAGCAGGGUUUGGGUUCUGCCCAGGCCAGUGCUUUACCAUGACAGCAGUCUGAGAGCUGCAGCUGUCCCUGCAUAGCUUUGCAGUAUGGAUCUCCCUUCACUGUACACCCUGCUACCCUUUGAAAUGCAUGAGGCAUACAAACAAACAAACAAACAAAAACACAGCAGUAUUUUAGCCAUACGUGCACAGGUAACUAAAUUCUAUCAUCCCGCAGAGAACGGUUGGAGCCCUUCCUAUCCCCAGUUCGUCCCCACAGCCAAAGCCAAGCUUGCGGGCCUCUCACCACCACAGACCAAGGAAACGCCAAUCUUAUCCUCGAGCAGUCGUCGAGGGCUGCUGCAGCCUCGCCUCCGCCGCCCCACGGUGCCUCCUGCCGUCCCCGGCAGCGUCGCACGUUGCUGCCACUGCAGGCCCGCACGGCCCACGCGUGAGCCCUUCCGCUGACUGCCGCUGCCGUCAGUGGGGAGGGGCGGCCGCGCCCGGAUCGCGAUUACAGCCGUCACGGCGAUUGGGGUAGCGCACCCGUCGAGACCACCGCCUCUGGGUGGGCACGGCGCUGCACAAAAUGGCGGCGGGGUAAAGGGUUGAGGAAGGGCUGGUGAGGCACGGGGCCAGGGUGGGAGCGCUGCCUGGGUGGCGCUGCCGUCAGGGCAGCUGUGCGAACAGGGAGACCCCUUGGCAUGCCUGCUUGGCGAGGAGCCUAAGGCGUGUGAGGGGGAUCACUUUGCAGUAAUCACAGUGUGAUUACCUGGACAGUGUGGAUGGUAGCUCAGGUUCCAGUUCAUUAACAGACUGGAAAGAUUUACUCUAAAUGUGGAGCAUAGUAAAAAGAUGAUUUGAGGUUGCUUCUACAUGAAUUACAUGAAACGUAUUCUCCAUUUUGUGAGCCUGAUCUGAAGCUUGUUGAAGUCAGAGGAAGAAGUCCAGAUUUUUUUCAGUAGUU
rnacentral:lncRNA from 1 species